rnacentral:ncRNA from 1 species
CCGUCACAACGGCUUCCUGGCGUGGCGGGGAUUAUUCAAUGGAGCG